rnacentral:rRNA from 1 species
AUUGAACGCUGGCGGCAUGCCUUACACAUGCGAGUCGAACGGUAACGGGCCUUCGGGUGCCGACGAGUGGCGCACGGGUGAGUAAUACAUCGGAACGUGCCCGAUCGUGGGGGAUAACGAGGCGAAAGCUUUGCUAAUACCGCAUACGAUCUACGGAUGAAAGCAGGGGACCGCAAGGCCUUGCGCGGACGGAGCGGCCGAUGGCAGAUUAGGUAGUUGGUGGGAUAAAAGCUUACCAAGCCGACGAUCUGUAGCUGGUCUGAGAGGAUGAUCAGCCACACUGGGACUGAGACACGGCCCAGACUCCUACGGGAGGCAGCAGUGGGGAAUUUUGGACAAUGGGCGCAAGCCUGAUCCGGCCAUGCCGCGUGCAGGAUGAAGGCCUUCGGGUUGUAAACUGCUUUUGUACGGAACGAAAAGCCUUCUUUUAAUACAGGAGGGUCAUGACGGUACCGUAAGAAUAAGCACCGGCUAACUACGUG